UGGAACUUGAACUGUAGACCAGGUUGGC
rnacentral:piRNA from 1 species